UACGUAGGGUGCGAGCGUUGUCCGGAAUUAUUGGGCGUAAAGAGCUCGUAGGCGGUCUGUCGCGUCGGAUGUGAAAGCCCGGGGCUUAACUCCGGGUCUGCAUUCGAUACGGGCAGACUAGAGUGUGGUAGGGGAGACUGGAAUUCCUGGUGUAGCGGUGAAAUGCGCAGAUAUCAGGAGGGACACCGGUGGCGAAGGCGGGUCUCUGGGCCAAUACUGACGCUGAGGAGCGAAAGCGUGGGGAGCGAACAGG
rnacentral:rRNA from 1 species